GAGUUUGAUCAUGGCUCAGAUUGAACGCUGGCGGCAUGCCUUACACAUGCAAGUCGAACGCGAAAGGGGGGCAACCCCCCGAGUAGAGUGGCGCACGGGUGAGUAAUGCAUCGGAACGUGUCCUGUAGCGGGGGGAUAACCUAGCGAAAGCUAGGCUAAUACCGCAUACGUCCUACGGGAGAAAGUGGGGGGAUCGUAAGAUCUCACACUAUAGGAGCGGCCGAUGCCGGAUUAGCUAGUUGGUGGGGUAAAGGCCUACCAAGGCGACGAUCGGUAGCUGGUCUGAGAGGAUGAUCAGCCACACUGGGACUGAGACACGGCCCAGACUCCUACGGGAGGCAGCAGUGGAGAAUAUUGGACAAUGGGCGCAAGCCUGAUCCAGCCAUGCCGCGUGUGUG
rnacentral:rRNA from 1 species